UACGUAGGGUGCAAGCGUUAUCCGGAAUUAUUGGGCGUAAAGAGCUCGUAGGCGGUCUGUCGCAUCGGCUGUGAAAACUCGGGGCUCAACUCCGAGCUUGCAGUCGAUACGGGCAGGCUAGAGUUCGGCAGGGGAGACUGGAAUUCCUGGUGUAGCGGUGAAAUGCGCAGAUAUCAGGAGGAACACCGGUGGCGAAGGCGGGUCUCUGGGCCGAUACUGACGCUGAGGAGCGAAAGCGUGGGGAGCGAACAGG
rnacentral:rRNA from 1 species